rnacentral:rRNA from 1 species
UACGGGGGGGGCAAGCGUUGUUCGGAAUUACUGGGCGUAAAGGGCUCGUAGGCGGCCAACUAAGUCGGACGUGAAAUCUCCAGGCUCAACCUGGGAACUGCGUCCGAUACUGGAUGGCUUGAAUCCGGGAGAGGGAUGCAGAAUUCCAGGUGUAGCGGUGAAAUGCGUAGAUAUCUGGAGGAAUACCGGUGGCGAAGGCGGCAUCCUGGACCGGCAUUGACGCUGAGGAGCGAAAGCUAGGGGAGCAAACGGG